GUUUCCGUAGUGUAGCGGUUAUCACGCUCGCCUUCACACGCGAAAGGUCCCCAGUUCAAACCAUGGAAACA
rnacentral:tRNA from 1 species